AGUCACUGACAUUAGAUACCCGUGUAGUCCAGGGUGUAAACGCUGCAGACUUGGUGUUGGAGGCCCUUUGGGGGCAUUCAGUGCCGGAGAGAAGUUGUUAAGUCUGCUACUUGGGAGUACGUCCGCAAGGAUGAAACUUAAAGGAAUUGGCGGGGGAGCACCGCAACGGGAGGAGCGUGCGGUUUAAUUGGAUUCAACACCGUAAAACUCACCAGGGAAGACUGUUACAUGAAGGCCGAGAUGAAGACUCUGCUAGAUUUUCAG
rnacentral:rRNA from 1 species